AACGAACGCUGGCGGCGUGCCUAACACAUGCAAGUCGUGCGAGAAAGUUCCUUCGGGAGCGAGUAAAGCGGCGCACGGGUGAGUAACACGUAGGUAACCUGCCCCCCAGUCUGGAACAACUAGAGGAAACUCUAGCUAAUGCCGGAUGAGACCACGAUCCCUUCGGGGGUUGCGGCCAAAGAUGGCCUCUACUUGUAAGCUAUCGCUGAGGGAUGGGCCUGCGGGCCAUUAGCUUGUUGGUGAGGUAACGGCUCACCAAGGCUGCGAUGGCUAGCUGGUCUGAGAGGAUGACCAGCCACACUGGGACUGAGACACGGCCCAGACUCCUACGGGAGGCAGCAGUGGGGAAUAUUGCGCAAUGGGCGAAAGCCUGACGCAGCGACGCCGCGUGGGUGAUGAAGGCCU
rnacentral:rRNA from 1 species